rnacentral:tRNA from 1 species
ACCUGGGUGGCUCAGUUGGUUGAGCGCCCGACUUUGGCUCAGGUCAUGAUCUCGCCAUUCAUGGGUUCGAGACCCAUGUCAGGCU